rnacentral:rRNA from 1 species
CCUACGGGAGGCAGCAGUGGGGGAUAUUGCACAAUGGGGGAAACCCUGAUGCAGCGACGCCGCGUGGGUGAAGAAGCGCCUCGGCGCGUAAAGCUCUGUCAGCAGGGAAGAAAAUGACGGUACCUGAAGAAGAAGCCCCGGCUAACUACGUGCCAGCAGCCGCGGUAAUACGGAGGGGGCAAGCGUUAUCCGGAUGUACGGGGUGUAAAGGGGGCGCAGACGGCGGUGCAAGCCAGGGGGGAAAGCCCGGGGCCCAACCCCGGGACUGUCCUUGGAACUGGGUGGCUAGCGUGCAGGAGGGGCAGGCGGAAUGCCUGGUGUAGCGGUGAAAUGCGUAGAUAUCAGAAGGAACACCGGUGGCGAAGGCAGCCUGC